UACGUAGGGCGCAAGCGUUGUCCGGAAUUAUUGGGCGUAAAGAGCUCGUAGGCGGUCUGUCGCGUCCGUUGUGAAAACUCGAGGCUCAACCUCGGGCUUGCAGUGGAUACGGGCAGACUAGAGUGCGGUAGGGGAGACUGGAAUUCCUGGUGUAGCGGUGAAAUGCGUAGAUAUCAGGAGGAACACCGGUGGCGAAGGCGGCUCUCUGGACCACAACUGACGCUGAGGCGCGAAAGCUAGGGGAGCAAACAGG
rnacentral:rRNA from 1 species